rnacentral:rRNA from 1 species
GACGAACGCUGGCGGCGUGCUUAACACAUGCAAGUCGAACGAAGAGCGAUGGAAGCUUGCUUCUAUCAAUCUUAGUGGCGAACGGGUGAGUAACGCGUAAUCAACCUGCCCUUCAGAGGGGGACAACAGUUGGAAACGACUGCUAAUACCGCAUACGAUCUAACCUCGGCAUCGAGGAUAGAUGAAAGGUGGCCUCUACAUGUAAGCUAUCACUGAAGGAGGGGAUUGCGUCUGAUUAGCUAGUUGGAGGGGUAACGGCCCACCAAGGCGAUGAUCAGUAGCCGGUCUGAGAGGAUGAACGGCCACAUUGGGACUGAGACACGGCCCAGACUCCUACGGGAGGCAGCAGUGGGGAAUCUUCCGCAAUGGACGAAAGUCUGACGGAGCAACGCCGCGUGAGUGAUGACGGCCUUCGGGUUGUAAAGCUCUGUUAAUCGGGACGAAAGGCCUUCUUGCGAAUAGGGAGAAGGAUUGACGGUACCGGAAUAGAAAGCCACGGCUAACUACGUG